AGAGUUUGAUCCUGGCUCAGGACGAACGCUGGCGGCGUGCUUAACACAUGCAAGUCGAACGGAAAGGCCCUGCUUUUGUAGGGUGCUCGAGUGGCGAACGGGUGAGUAACACGUGAGUAACCUGCCCUUGACUUUGGGAUAACUUCAGGAAACUGGGGCUAAUACCGGAUAGGAGCUCCUGCUGCAUGGUGGGGGUUGGAAAGUUUCGGCGGUUGGGGAUGGACUCGCGGCUUAUCAGCUUGUUGGUGGGGUAGUGGCUUACCAAGGCUUUGACGGGUAGCCGGCCUGAGAGGGUGACCGGCCACAUUGGGACUGAGAUACGGCCCAGACUCCUACGGGAGGCAGCAGUGGGGAAUAUUGCACAAUGGGCGGAAGCCUGAUGCAGCAACGCCGCGUGCGGGAUGACGGCCUUCGGGUUGUAAACCGCUUUCGCCUGUGACGAAGCGUGAGUGACGGUAAUGGGUAAAGAAGCACCGGCUAACUACGUGCCAGCAGCCGCGGUGAUACGUAGGGUGCGAGCGUUGUCCGGAUUUAUUGGGCGUAAAGGGCUCGUAGGUGGUUGAUCGCGUCGGAAGUGUAAUCUUGGGGCUUAACCCUGAGCGUGCUUUCGAUACGGGUUGACUUGAGGAAGGUAGGGGAGAAUGGAAUUCCUGGUGGAGCGGUGGAAUGCGCAGAUAUCAGGAGGAACACCAGUGGCGAAGGCGGUUCUCUGGGCCUUUCCUGACGCUGAGGAGCGAAAGCGUGGGGAGCGAACAGGCUUAGAUACCCUGGUAGUCCACGCUGUAAACGGUGGGUACUAGGUGUGGGGUCCAUUCCACGGGUUCCGUGCCGUAGCUAACGCUUUAAGUACCCCGCCUGGGGAGUACGGCCGCAAGGCUAAAACUCAAAGGAAUUGACGGGGCCCCGCACAAGCGGCGGAGCAUGCGGAUUAAUUCGAUGCAACGCGUAGAACCUUACCUGGGUUUGACAUGGAUCGGGAGUGCUCAGAGAUGGGUGUGCCUCUUUUGGGGUCGGUUCACAGGUGGUGCAUGGCUGUCGUCAGCUCGUGUCGUGAGAUGUUGGGUUAAGUCCCGCAACGAGCGCAACCCUUGUUCACUGUUGCCAGCACGUUAUGGUGGGGACUCAGUGGAGACCGCCGGGGUCAACUCGGAGGAAGGUGGGGAUGACGUCAAGUCAUCAUGCCCCUUAUGUCCAGGGCUUCACGCAUGCUACAAUGGCUGGUACAGAGAGUGGCGAGCCUGUGAGGGUGAGCGAAUCUCGGAAAGCCGGUCUCAGUUCGGAUUGGGGUCUGCAACUCGACCUCAUGAAGUCGGAGUCGCUAGUAAUCGCAGAUCAGCAACGCUGCGGUGAAUACGUUCCCGGGGCUUGUACACACCGCCCGUCAAGUCAUGAAAGUUGGUAACACCCGAAGCCGGUGGCCUAACCGUUGUGGGGGAGCCGUCGAAGGUGGGACUGGUGAUUAGGACUAAGUCGUAACAAGGUAGCCGUACCGGAAGGUGCGGCUGGAUCACCU
rnacentral:rRNA from 2 species